rnacentral:rRNA from 1 species
ACGGGAGGCAGCAGUGGGGAGUAUUGCACAAUGGGGGAAACCCUGAUGCAGCGACGCCGCGUGAACGAAGAAGUAUUUCGGUAUGUAAAGUUCUAUCAGCAGGGAAGAAAAUGACGGUACCUGACUAAGAAGCCCCGGCUAACUACGUGCCAGCAGCCGCGGUAAUACGUAGGGGGCAAGCGUUAUCCGGAUUUACUGGGUGUAAAGGGAGCGUAGACGGUAGUGCAAGUCUGAAGUGAAAGCUCGCAGCUUAACUGCGGAACUGCUUUGGAAACUGUACAACUAGAGUACCGGAGGGGUAAGCGGAAUUCCUAGUGUAGCGGUGAAAUGCGUAGAUAUUAGGAGGAACACCAGUGGCGAAGGCGGCUUGCUGGACGGUAACUGACGUUGAGGCUCGAAAGCGUGGGGAGCAAACAGGAUUAGAUACCCUGGUA